ACGGAAGGUGCAAGCGUUAGUCGGAAUUACUGGGCGUAAAGGGUGCGUAGGCGGGAAUGUAAGUCGGUUGUGAAAUUCCGAAGCUCAACUUCGGAGCUGCAAUCGAAACUACAUUUCUCAGAGGAAUGGCGGAGAGAAUGGAAUUCCAUAUGUAGCGGUGAAAUGCGUAGAUAUAUGGAAGAACACCUGUGGCGAAAGCGGUUCUCUAGCCUCCUCCUGACGCUGAGGCACGAAAGCAAGGGGAGCAAACAG
rnacentral:rRNA from 1 species